CUUGUUGGUGAGGUAACGGCUCACCAAGGCUUCGACGGGUAGCCGGCCUGAGAGGGCGACCGGCCACACUGGGACUGAGAUACGGCCCAGACUCCUACGGGAGGCAGCAGUGGGGAAUAUUGCACAAUGGGCGAAAGCCUGAUGCAGCAACGCCGCGUGCGGGAUGACGGCCUUCGGGUUGUAAACCGCUUUCAGUAGGGACGAAGGUAACCUGACGGCACCUACAGAAGAAGGACCGGCCAACUACGUGCCAGCAGCCGCGGUGAUACGUAGGGUCCGAGCGUUGUCCGGAAUUAUUGGGCGUAAAGGGCUUGUAGGCGGUCUGUCACGUCGGAAGUGAAAACUCAGGGCUUAACCCUGAGCCUGCUUCCGAUACGGGCAGACUAGAGGGAUGCAGGGGAGAACGGAAUUCCUGGUGGAGCGGUGGAAUGCGCAGAUAUCAGGAGGAACACCGGUGGCGAAGGCGGUUCUCUGGGCAUUUCCUGACGCUGAGAAGCGAAAGCGUGGGGAGCAAACAGGCUUAGAUACCCUGGUAGUCCACGCCGUAAACGGUGGGCACUAGGUGUGGGGAACAUUCCACGUUCUCCGUGCCGCAGCUAACGCAUUAAGUGCCCCGCCUGGGGAGUACGGCCGCAAGGCUAAAACUCAAAGGAAUUGACG
rnacentral:rRNA from 1 species